rnacentral:rRNA from 1 species
GACGAACGCUGGCGGCGUGCUUAACACAUGCAAGUCGAACGGAAAGGCCCUGCUUUUGUGGGGUGCUCGAGUGGCGAACGGGUGAGUAACACGUGAGUAACCUGCCCUUGACUUUGGGAUAACUUCAGGAAACUGGGGCUAAUACCGGAAAGGAGCUCCUGCUGCAUGGUGGGGGUUGGAAAGUUUCGGCGGUUGGGGAUGGACUCGCGGCUUAUCAGCUUGUUGGUGGGGUAGUGGCUUACCAAGGCUUUGACGGGUAGCCGGCCUGAGAGGGUGACCGGCCACAUUGGGACUGAGAUACGGCCCAGACUCCUACGGGAGGCAGCAGUGGGGAAUAUUGCACAAUGGGCGGAAGCCUGACGCAGAACGCCGCGUGCGGGAUGACGGCCUUCGGGUUGUAAACCGCUUUCGCCUGUGACGAAGCGUGAGUGACGGUAAUGGGUAAAGAAGCACCGGCUAACUACGUG